GGCUCAGGACGAACGCUGGCGGCGUGCUUAACACAUGCAAGUCGAGCGAUGAAGCUCUUCGGAAGUGGAUUAGCGGCGGACGGGUGAGUAACACGUGGGUAACCUGCCUCAUAGAGGGGAAUAGCCUUCCGAAAGGAAGAUUAAUACCGCAUAAGAUUGUAAUAUCGCAUGAUAUAGCAAUUAAAGGAGUAAUCCGCUAUGAGAUGGACCCGCGUCGCAUUAGCUAGUUGGUGAGGUAACGGCUCACCAAGGCGACGAUGCGUAGCCGACCUGAGAGGGUGAUCGGCCACAUUGGGACUGAGACACGGCCCAGACUCCUACGGGAGGCAGCAGUGGGGAAUAUUGCACAAUGGGGGAAACCCUGAUGCAGCAAACCGCCGCGUGAGUGAUGACGGUCUUCGGAUUGUAAAGCUCUGUCUUCAGGGACGAUAAUGACGGUACCUGAGGAGGAAGCCACGGCUAACUACGUGCCAGCAGCAGC
rnacentral:rRNA from 1 species